ensembl:lncRNA
GGUUUGCAAAUUUUGCAAUGAAACUGCUUUAUGAAUUACAGUGAUCUCUUUCUUGAGCUUUUUAUUUCCCUCAUGAAUUAUACUGAAUUUAGCAAAACAUGCUGCUUGGCACAUAAUAAAAACCCAAUAACUUAAUAAACAAAUGAAUUUGGUUAAAACAAAAAGUUUAAAUAAAGGACAAAGGAAUUAAGUCUGUUUGAUUAAUAUAAGGCAGACAACAGGCAUUAUCUUGCAAAGUGGAGAUGACCAAAACCAAGGCAUGCAGGAGUUAGGGAGGUUAUACAUUGUCGUGAUUAGGAACGAAUCUCUGCCCCUAGAAAAGCCAAAUUGCCCUUUUCCCAGAGAGGAGCCAAAGUGCCUUUCUUAUACCAGGGAAGGCCCUGCAACUCUGCGGUCACAGGCGACUGGACAAAACAGCCCUCGGUCCCCGCUCUUCAGGGAAGCGACAAAUGGAGGGCUCGAGGUGUUGCUGCCCAGCCGUCUUGGGGGAAGAUCUAGGCGUGACCAUUUGGUGGGGCUCCCGGGGUGUCUCCGGGGAGCCCAGUGGGGAUUCCUUGGGUGGAGCCCAUCUCCAGUGACCCUCUCUACCCACCGCAGGAGCAGAGCUGGGUCAGCCAGAAACUUAGGCCAACUUUCCGUUCCAAGAGCCAGGAAAGGCUGGGGCAAGGGAUGUCUGCAAGGUGCGGGAACAGGCUUGGGAAAGGCUUUUCCAAAGAGUGGACUGUGUACCCCAGCUGGCCCCAAAUUCAGAGAAAUAAGAAGGCAGAACACAUCCCUUAGGACGAAUCAAGCCCUCUUCCCUGACGUCUCCAGCCUCCCCUAUGGUCUUCCUCUCUAGCUGCUGUUCCCCUGCCCUGAGCGCUCUCCAUCCACAGCCCCACCCCCUCCACCAGGCUGACCCCCAUCCACCACACUCACACUUCUGUCUCUGGUCUCCUCGCCCAGGUAGGCGGUCAGCCCCCUAUCAUUGCCCAUCCCAGCAGAAAAAUCGUACUCAGAAGGGACUAGAGACUGACAUCAGUGAGUGGAUGCAUGGACACCCCACUGUGGCUUCCGGAAUCAUUCACUGGACAGUCAUUCACUGGACAGUUAUUCACAGGCGUGUGGACACAAGGGUUCAAGUCUGGGCCCUGCAGGUCUCGUCUCAGAACAGCCCUGCCUCCGUUUUCACAUCUGUAGGAUAGGGGAAUCAUUCUUGCCUGCCCCACUGGGGAGCUGUAGAGACCCACCCAAGUAGGAAGAUGGUGAACAGCUGUGGGUGGGACUGUGAAGGACACCUGGAAAGACCAGACAAAUGGGGUCUGGGUUCAGUCUGGAUGGGGCCGUGGGGAAAGGAGAGGGUCGAGGCUCAUGUCGUCAAGUCACUUCCUGUUGGGAGGGCUCUCAACCCCAGGCCUCAGACUUUCCUGGGAGUCACCUUGACAGUGAUGGCGGAUAUGGAGGCCCCAAGGUGGGUGAAGCUGGGACAGUAAUUCUGACAGUAAUUCUCAGGUGGCAGCGGCAGACGGCUUCGAGCUGGGUGCUGAGACUUCUGAGGCAGGGAGCCCCCUGAUGCCACCAGCGCUGUGGCAGAUGAGGGCCUCUUCCCACCAGCUGGCUUAUGCCAUCAGCCAGUCACCUUCCACUGUCCCCACACAGCACAACUUCCAUCUGCUGGUGAUGCUCAGUGCUCAUGUUCAGGCCCUGGGCCAAGAAAGCUGGAAGUGUCAGACGACUAGAAACACUCUAAAGGAAGACACCACCUCUCCCAGCGGGGCAGCAGACUAGAUCUGGAUGAAAGCUUGCUUCACCUAGUGGCUGGGGGCUGCUGGAGCCCAAGCCCGCUGGCCUCUGCUUGUUGAAAUAGGAGGUCUUCAUGUGGCGGACUCCUCCUGUCUUCAAGGCAUGCACUGACCCCGCUGGGCUCCAAGGCCCUGUCAGCACGUGUGGAGCAGUGACAGGGGUCUACAGGGUGGGUAACGGGUGGCAGGAAGCCCCUUGCUUGGUAGAAAAGAGGCUGAUGUGCUAGGAGGUCACCAGGAGCUCCACUCUGUCCUCGUUCAAAACCGUCCCCAGGUUUAAGUAGAGCCGGGAAGCGAGGACACACAGCUGAGCUGGUGGUGGGAGAAAUGGCCAAGCCAGCUCCAGCCACUGGUCACAGGAGAGAGGGCCCCAUCCCCAUGCUCCCUCUGCUCUCCUGCUCCGAGUGUUGCCUCUGCGGGAACGAGGAUUUGUAAAAUACCCGAAGUUGGAUGAGACGUUGAGGACGAGCCCUUGCUGGAGCCACAUGAGGUAAGGAAGGUGGGUGUCAGGAAAGGGAAGGACUGUCAGGGGCCAGGCCCUUGUCUUGGGAUUUCAUCCUGGUGGGACCAACUCUUCACAGGAUGUCGGUUCUCAGUCAGGGGCUCGCUGGGAUCCCUGGGCUUCCGUUCACUGAUCUCCCCAGUCCGGGUGAGGCCUGGGCGCCAGCGUAUUUAUGGCCCUUCCUCCAGGUGGCUCUGAUGCACAUCAGGGUUGAAAACCACCCAUUGUGAGGGUGGCGCCCUCACUUUCAUUCAGAGAUGAGGGGACUGGCCUCAUCUGAGAGGGUGAGUAACUCCCUCUAGAUCACACAGCAAGAAGGGCCAGAGCAGGGCCCACACAUCUUCACUGCUAGGGCUGGGGGAGCAUGGGGUACUUUGGAAAGGGCCCUUCUGGCCUCCUCCCCUCCCCCAGCACUGCCCCAGGCACGCAGCGGC